rnacentral:rRNA from 1 species
UACCAUUGGGGGUAGAGCUCUGUUAAGGCUAGGGGGUCAUCCCGACUUACCAACCCUUUGCAAACUCCGAAUACCAAUGAGUACUACUCGGGAGACACACGACGGGUGCUAACGUCCGCCGUGAAAAGGGAAACAACCCAGACCACCAGCUAAGGUCCCAAAGUCAUGGUUAAGUGGAAAACGAUGUGGAAAGGCAUAGACAGCUAGGAGGUUGGCUUAGAAGCAGCCACCCUUUAAAGAAAGCGUAAUAG